ensembl:lncRNA
GGAUCGUUUAUUUCAACUCAUGAAAUAUGGGACCAAGACUUUACAUGUUGUGUUUAUAUUUUUGUUCAGUAUAUAUCAUUUCUGUUCCCCUUCAUUGAUACUCUGUAAUAUAUAUAGUCGAUGUUCCUGUCCAUUGAUGUUGUGUCAUUGAGUCUGGUCUGAUGAAUGUUAAUAUCCCCGCAUAUGGAUGAGGCCAGAUAACUGCUUGGAGGGCUGUGAUUGGUUGAGCCAGUAGGACACAAUAGAGCCUCUUCCUUUGUGGUGUCCAGGUGCAGACACUUCAAGGCAUGAAGAGAGGUGGGGGCUCUGUCCUCUCCUACACACAACACUGCAACAAACACACCGGAUCACCCAAAGAAGAACAAACAGUCCAGGAAGGAGGCACUCUCCUCCAGCCUGUUUUAAACAAUACAUUACCACCCAGUACAAUGAUUGUGCGUUAUUUUAUCUUUAUUUUAUCUUAAAGACUUUAAAUGCCCACAUCCUUUUCUUGGAAUAUAACAGAAAAAAACUCAACCAUAUACACUGUAAACAUUCACAUUUGAUUAAAAGGUAUCCCCUAGUUAGUAAACGUACCACAAAAGAGCACAGUUGAUUAUGAACAGAAAAAAAAUUAACCUGUAUAGCAGUGGCUCUCCAAACCUUAACCUUUGCAUUUUGAAGUUGAUCUAUGUUCAAUUAAUCAGCUCGUCCCAAAUGGUACCCUAUUCCCAAUAGUGCUCUACUUUUGACCAGGGCCUAUAGGGCUCAGGUCAAAGAUAGUGCCCUAUAUAGGGGCUAGAGAGUGCCAUUCGGACACAUGAUUUCCCAACCCUCCUGGGGAAACACCAGGCUGCAAGUAUUAGUUCUAGCUCUGCCCUAUUUGACACCUAGGUCAGCUGACCAAGGGUUUGGCGGUGAGGUAAUCAGGUGUGUUAGUAUAGGGCUGGAACAAAGAUGUGGACUGUCUGGUCUCCCAAGAAGAAGGUUGAGACGCUGUUGUAGGACAAUUCGAAGUACUGUACCACCAUGAAGCAUGAUAGCAGACCGAGGACUGCACACGGAUACAUCCCGAUCCUCCAAGGAUGCACUUGCACACUCCACAUCGUGGAUUUAAAGGCUAGAGGGAGUUUCCACCAUUGUGAAAUCCAUGACCGUUUGCACCUGUGCACUUCGGAAGAAGGGUAGAGAAUCGGGACACAGUCAACCUCUCCAUCCUUGCCUCAUAAAGGUCUAGCUCAUCAAAGAGAGUCAACCUGUCCUUCUCUGAUUCAUUAAGAAAUGUGAUUCCUUAUCCCUCCAUGAUAGAUGAACAUAACCUGAGGACUAGUGUUUUUCCUCCCCCGUCCAUCGUCAUGAUAGAUGAACCUAACCUGAGGACUAGUGUUUUUCCUUCCCCACUCAUGAUGAUAGAUGAACCUAACCUGAGGACUAGUGUUUUUCCUUCCCCACUCAUGAUGAUAGAUGAACCUAACCUGAGGACUAGUGUUUUUCCUCCCCCACUCAUGAUGAUAGAUGAACCUAACCUGAGGACUAGUGUUUUUCCUCCCCCACUCAUGAUGAUAGAUGAACCUAACCUGAGGACUAGUGUUUUUCCUCCCCCGUCCAUCGUGAUGAUUGAUGAACCUAACCUGAGGACUAGUGUAAGAUCCAAAGCUGGGGCCUAUCAAGCCUUUAGCUCUGUGGACGAAUGUGGUCUUGAGGCACUCAAAUGACUCUGGUUCGAUACCCGGUUUGUUUGGUCACGUCUAGAAUGAAUAAACACAAACCUCAUGCAGUCCUUCAGCAAAUUAGAAGGACUGGUCUCCCCAGCACCAUGUUCCCUAUAUAGUGCACUACUUUAGAUCAGGGCCCAUUAGCACCCUGUUCCCUUUAUAGUACACUAGGGUACCAUUCCCGAUGCAGACGUGGUGAACACUAUUGCCUGGUGGAGAGAUGACGUCACAACAGGAUCUGAUGUCAAGGCACUUCCCCAGAGAGAGAGGAUCUUGUCUUUCAGUGUCUGUGAGGCACCAACAUAUUAAACUAGAUAAUAAAACAGAAUAAUGUCAUUAUUAAACACUUGGCUAGUUCGGAGAACUGGAUUUCUAAAUAAUAAUAAUAACACUGUUUAUUUGGUAGGUUGGUGUCACUUUUAAGCUGGCGAGCCUGGUCUGUUGCUGGGCUGUGUGCAUCUGGUAGUCCUUUUUGAUUAGAAACUCAUCUGGCUUUUGAAACGCAGCACUAACUGUGAGAUAUGCUGUAAGAGACGCUAUCCUGGUACACAGAUUAAGCCUAGUCCUGUAUCAAACACCAAUCUCAUUUGAGAAUCUUAAUUGAAAGUGUUUUUUUUUUCAUCCAGGAAUAGGCUUAAUUUCUGUUCGGGAAAACUGGCCAUAACUGUGGAGCCGUUGCAGUGACACCCCGCUGUUCUACUGGCCAUCAGGAGAAACUAUUGUUAACAGGUCAUUAUCAGGUCCUAACGGGAAUACUGUUAACAUGUCAUUAUCUAGCCCUAACUGGACUACUGUUAACAUGUCAUUAUCUAGCCCUAACUGGACUACUGUUAACAUGUCAUUAUCUAGCCCUAACUGUACUACUGUUAACAUGUCAUUAUCUAGCCCUAACUGGACUACUGUUAACAUGUCAUUAUCUAGCCCUAACUGGACUACUGUUAACAUGUCAUUAUCUAGCCCUAACUGUACUACUGUUAACAUGUCAUUAUCUAGCCCUAACUGGACUACUGUUAACAUGUCAUUAUCUAGCCCUAACUGGACUACUGUUAACAUGUCAUUAUCUAGCCCUAACUGGACUACUGUUAACAUGUCAUUAUCUAGCCCUAACUGGACUACUGUUAACAGAGAUCAUUAUCUAGCCCUAACUGGACUACUGUUAACAGAGAUCAUUAUCUAGCCCUAACUGGACUACUGUUAACAUGUCAUUAUCUAGCCCUAACUGGACUACUGUUAACAGA